GCGCCCGUAGCUCAGUCAGUAGAGCGGCGGAACGGUGAUCCACAAGUUCAAUAUCCGGGUUCAAGUCCCGGCGGUCGCU